rnacentral:lncRNA from 1 species
GGACCCGCACAGGCAGGCGACAGCCACUCGGGCUGGGGAAGGCGCGAGGGAGGGGACGCGGGCCGCGCGCCGCGCUCGGGGGCCGGUGACCGCGCCGGGGCCCUCUGCUCGCGGCCGGGCGCAGCGCCGGGCACCGCGGCGGGCGGGGCGGGGCCUCGGCGGGCUGGGCGCGCCGGGCAUCGAGCGCAACUCCUGGCGCCCGCGCGGAGACUUUGCCAAAGACCCGAAGGGCGAGACGCUGUGCCACUUCUGACGGAGGGGGCCGGGGGGUGGGGGGACGGGGGCAGCGCCUCCAGCCGGGGCGAAGGGACCAGCGGGACAGCGGCCGCCCGGGGCACGGGGCCACCAUGUGAGCCGGACGCCGGCCCGAGGAGUCUGGACCGAGCGGCCCCGGAGAGGCGCCGGCCGUGCCAGAAUUGAAAACAGAGACAGGGAGAGAGACAGGGUC